rnacentral:rRNA from 1 species
UACGGAGGGUGCAAACGUUGCUCGGAAUCAUUGGGCGUAAAAGCGCACGUAGGCGGCCUGAUAAGUCGGGUGUGAAAGCCCUGGGCUCAACCCAGGAAGUGCACUCGAAACUGUCAGGCUUGAAUAUGGAAGAGGGUCGCGGGAAUUCCCGGUGUAGAGGUGAAAAUUCGUAGAUAUCGGGGAGGAACACCAGUGGCGAAGGGCGGCGACCUGGGCCAUAUUUGACGCUGAGGUGCGAAAAGCGUGGG